rnacentral:rRNA from 1 species
UACGUAGGGCGCAAGCGUUUGUCCGGAAUUAUUGGGCGUAAAGAGCUCGUAGGCGGCCUGUCGCGUCUGCUGUGAAAUCCCGGGGCUUAACCCCGGGCGUGCAGUGGAUACGGGCUGGCUGGAGGCAGGCAGGGGAGAACGGAAUUCCCGGUGUAGCGGUGAAAUGCGCAGAUAUCGGGAGGAACACCGGUGGCGAAGGCGGUUCUCUGGGCCUGUUCUGACGCUGAGGAGCGAAAGCGUGGGGACGAACAGG